rnacentral:rRNA from 1 species
CCUACGGGUGGCACCAGUGGGGAAUAUUGCACAAUGGGCGCAAGCCUGAUGCAGCCAUGCCGCGUGUAUGAAGAAGGCCUUCGGGUUGUAAAGUACUUUCAGCGGGGAGGAAGGCGAUAAGGUUAAUAACCUUGUCGAUUGACGUUACCCGCAGAAGAAGCACCGGCUAACUCCGUGCCAGCAGCCGCGGUAAUACGGAGGGUGCAAGCGUUAAUCGGAAUUACUGGGCGUAAAGCGCACGCAGGCGGUCUGUCAAGUCGGAUGUGUAAUCCCCGGACUCAACCUGGGAACUGCAUUAGAAACUGGCAGGCUGGAAUCUUGUAGAGGGGGGUAGAAUUCCAGGUGUAGCGGUGAAAUGCGUAGAGAUCUGGAGGAAUACCGGUGGCGAAGGCGGCCCCCUGGACAAAGACUGACGCUCAGGUGCGAAAGCGUGGGGAGCAAACAGGAUUAGAUACCCCUGUAGUC